AGACAACAUACAGCAUCAAUAUCCCGGUCAUUCAAUCCAUAAUCAAUAAAACAUUAAAAUAUGUACACGAAACUAUAAAAUGAAAACAUCGAACCUCAUGCUGCAUUUAAAACUGUAAAACAGGUCAAAUAACAGUUAACCGACAAACACACUAGACUCGGGCUCCAUUAGCGACCUUAAGCAAUUUCACACAUUCGUUGAUUCAUGAAAUACCGUUUUAUCAUUUAUUGGACUUUAAAACCGUGAUAGGAAAUAGGGUGAGGGGUCCUUACUCGUUUCGGGGUCCGAACACGGCUUCACAGUGCGCUUGUAGGCUGUCCCUAAUUUUCCCUGAAUUUUUC
rnacentral:lncRNA from 1 species